GCUGAGCUGUGCGCGCGAGCCGGGGAGAGACAGCACGGCCGCGUCACUGCUGUUCGCUCGCGGGGAAACCGACAAGCUGAAAAGGGCUCGAGGACACAAUGAACUCGCCAGCGGAAGGAGUUUAACGCACCGGAUCUUUGAUGAACACGAAAUACAAGGGGAAAAGGGAGGAGGCUAUGCCGUUUCGACUUUUCUUUACCACCAUUUGAUUAACCAUGAUGAAGACUGAACCCCCAUCUGCAGCUAGCGGCACAACAAGCACCACGCUCGGCGCUCGGAGCGCGUCGCCACACAGGAAUGCAUACGAGGCAGGAAUUCAGUCACUUAAACCAGUCAAAGACCCUGAUGCUGCAAACGGUGAAGAUGGCAAAGAGGGAAAGUCACGACCUAUCGGACGGGGUCGCAGGUACGGCUCCAAUGUCCAUCGCAUCAAGAACAUGUUCAUGCAGAUGGGCUCCCCCGGGGACGAAGAAGAUCCGUCAAAGAUGAAAGACCAGGCAGUGCGCCUCUCCUUGCCAAGAGCCAGCAGUCUUAAUGAGAAUGUAGACCACAGCGCCCUUCUCAAGCUAGGCGGAACUGUUUCUGAACGUGUGAGUCGCUUUGAUGGAAAGCCUGAUGGAGGAGGUGCCCGUGGACCUUCAUCUGGCUUCUCUAAGCUACAGGAGACACGCAAGAUUUUCGAGCAGCGCACCAUGCAGGAGAAGCAGGCUGCUACCAACCGCAUCCUCCUGAAGAAGGAACGUGCCUCUGGCUUCCAGGACAGUCGUCUGGAUGUUGUCGUACGAUUCAAUGGCAGCACAGAAGCCCUAGACAGACUGGACACAGAAGGUGGGCCUGUCGAGGCAGUGUCCCCCACUGUUAGUCAGCUGAGUGCUGUGUUUGAGAAGGCAGAAUUGCGGAACAAUCUCCAUCGGCCGUCUUCAUCUUCACUUACGCCCUCUCGCCCCAAAGUCAUUCCAAAAAAGGUGCGAACGAUCUCUCAAUCAGGAAGCCAAGAAAAUGAAUUGCUGGCUAAUGAACAAGAAGCAGCCCCUAGAAGUCCAAGGAGAACAGGAUCCCAAGCAAACGCAACAAGCAACAAGCUAUCAGCAGAUGAGACUCUUUUUUCUGCAGAGCCAAAUGCAAAGCAGUCAAAAGAAUUCCAAGACUCUACUGGAACUAGUACAGAGUCCAUACCUGGGGAGCAGGAUGCUGCUAGCCAGGAAGCAGGGAGCAGAUUGGUGCAUGCGGAGGUUCACGCUUCCCUUGAAAAUGGGGAGGCUGAAAACAGUCACGAGGCUGAGCAGAGAGAUGAGUGCAGGCUGAACCAAGGAGACACCUCCGCUCAAAAGGAGGAGGCAGGAGAGGAAGAGACCCUAAAGGAGGAUUAUUCAGAAGCUGACCUGAUAGACAUCAGUGCCUACAGUGGUGUAGGUGAGGACUCUGGUGGGAGUCAGCUGGAUGAGGAUGAAGAGGCUGAUGAUGAUGAGGCUUUUGAACCGGAAUCUAGCUGCACAGAGAUCCCGGGACUGCCGAAUGAGGAUGAACCUCCAGCCAGCAGGAAGAUCCGUUUCAGCAGUGGGCCGAUUAAGGUGUUCACCACGUACUCCAACGAGGAUUAUGACCGGCGUAACGAUGACGUCGACCCCAUGGCAGCCUCAGCUGAGUAUGAGCUGGAGAAGAGAGUGGAGAGGCUGGACCUUUUCCCUGUAGAACUGGAGAAAGACAACGAUGGCUUGGGGAUCAGUAUCAUCGGAAUGGGCGCAGGCGCAGACAUGGGUCUGGAGAAACUUGGAAUCUUUGUCAAGACAGUGACAGAGGGAGGAGCUGCUCAUCGUGACGGAAGGAUCCAGGUGAACGACCUGAUAGUUGAGGUUGAUGGCACUAGUCUGGUGGGUGUGACACAGAAUUUUGCAGCGUCUGUCCUGAGAAACACCACCGGCACUGUCAAGUUUAUCAUCGGCCGAGAGAAGCCGGGUGAGCAGAGCGAGGUAGCUCAGCUGAUCCAGCAGACGUUGGAGCAGGAACGCUGGCAGAGGGAGAUGAUGGAACAGCGCUAUAACCAGUACAUGGAGGAGGAUGAAGAGGCGGGUGAGUAUGGCACAGAUGAGGAUGAGGAGAUGAGCCCCAUGUUCCCUAAUGCUAUCGAGGUGUUUGACUUGGCUGAGAACGAGGACAUGCUCUCUCCUGUGGAGAUGGACCCAGAGAAACUCACUCACAAGUUUAAAGAGCUCCAGAUAAAGCAUGCAGUGACCCAGGCUGAGAUCCAGCAGCUGAAAAGGAAGCUGGCUCAUGCUGAGCAGGAAAAACUGCGCUGGAGGAUGGAGAAGGCCCAGCUGGAGCAGACCGUCCGAGAGACGAAGGAGCGCAUGGAGAAGCUCGAAGGCUACUGGAUGGAGGCUCAGAGCCUGUGCCAGGCAGUGGACGAGCACCUUAAAGAGACACAGGCACAGUACCAGACACUGGAGCGCAAAUACAGUAAAGCCAAGCGCCUCAUCAAAGAGUACCAGCAGAAAGAAAUUGAGUAUCUGAAGAAGGAGACAGCGCAGAGACGUGCACAGGAGGAAUCAGAAGCUGACCACAAGGAGGAGACAGACAACCUGCAGGAGAAGGUUCAGUAAUAACACUGUGGCACUAAGCGUAGCUGCGAGAGUGCUGCCUUACCGCUACAACAGCUACAGCUGUUAUACACUUCUAAGUUGUGAGGGGAAGUCCAGCUAAAAAGGCUACUGAAACAGCUAAGAUAUAACCUUCUGAAAUCUCAGCAGCUUUAUUGUGAGCUUUACACAUUUAUAAAAGGCUGUUUUUUGGUGUUGGUUUUUCUUUAGAUCACUGACUUAGAAACGAAGGUGGGUGCACUGAAGAGCUCCGAGCCCUCUUAAAUCUGCACAGGAACUAGAGAGAAACGAGGGAGAGAGCAGGAGAAAAGUCUUUCAGCCCUGGACGUCCCUCCUUCCUGCAUGAUUUCCCCUGUGGCAUGCAACAAUGGACAAGCAAAAGAGUACAAGAAACAUUAAAGGGAUGUUACUGGGGAAAAGGGGCGUGACAGAGAACUCACAAAGUCCUGCCAGACGUGUGGCACAGGCCUGCUCACCUCUACUCUUCAUGACAACCCAUGUAACGUAGGACGUUUUUGCUUUCAAACAGUAUUUGAUUGUUUUGUUUCUUUUUCGUUUUUUUUUUAACGACCCAAUAAAAACAUUACACAUGCUUAGUUUUGGCAACUCAGCACACUUGAGUGACACACGCCACCUGGACCUGGUGCCAAGCGAACUGAAGAAAGGAAAAAUCCAUGCGACAGACUUUUGAGUUUCACUUUUUUCCCAUCACCUGUGUGCAGAAUGAGAUGCUGUGGGUUUGUACAGCAGUGUCAGAACAUUUGAUGGUGUUUGUAUAUAAUCUUCAAUGUAUUUAAAAAUGCCUAAGCAAUGAGCUGUAAGGGAACGUGGAACAGACGGGGUGGAGGAAUCAGUUUGUGGGAGGGGGUAAAACCAGGGUGCAAGUAACAGUAAAAGUGAAGGUAAACACAUUUUCCUAGUUCUAGACUGGCGCAGGUGAAGAUGUGUACUUAUUUCAUACAUUUUUUUUUCCCAAGCAAAAUGGCAAACAGGGUGUGAGACUUAUGUAAGUCGACCUUUCAAUGUACCUUCCAAGACUUACAUUUCACACUUUGCUUUCCCCUGGACAGUAUUACUGGAAGUGUGUUGUGUGAUUCAGGCAUCUGGGUCGCUGUCUCCUGCAUUUCUCAACGCAUCGUCACUAUCAGUGUAUGAAUGACAAAGAGAAGCCUUUGUGUGCUUAAUUCUGUCUUUUUAUUUUUUAGCUCUGCUCACCAGAUAUUUCUUGCACAGCCUCAGAUGACAGUGCAGUAAAUGACAGCAUGUGCUGAAUUAAUGUGUUAAAAUUCAGCAUUGAUGCUUCAUCAUCACUUCUUUAGGUUGUUUGUUAAUUUUGUUAGGCUGAAGAUUAGAUUUUUUUACUGUUCAAAAAUUCCUAACAAAUAUCCCAAAGUUUUCUGUAGUCAUUUGUCUUAAAGCACAUUAUUGGGUGACUACAGUGUAUUAUUCUGUAAAAGGAAAUGCAUGUAGUUAUGAGAGUCAGGAAAAUAAGCCGGAUCUGCUGAUGGAUCCUGGGAGUUUUCGGGGUUAAAUAUUAUUCGAUCGAAAGUAACCGUCUUAUUAUUGUAAUGGAAACCAUACAUUUGCAGACUUUUAGCUUUUGCUGAUGUCUUAUUGGUGUGCAGCUUUUUUUUUUUUUUGCUACUUGACCUCAAGGCAAAUUUUAUUAUUGUAUUCAAUCAAAUGUUAUAAAUUUGGGAAACUGGAAUUUAGAUAGAGUGAAAUACAGCUUUUAGGUAGACACUGGCCUUUAAUCUGAUUUUGGACCAGCCUCCUCAGACGAGAUCACAACUCAGCCGUAGCAUUAAAGGAUCAUUCUGGUAUUUUUGAACAAAUAUUUGUUUUAACAGUAAGGGCAUUCUGACCAGGUGGCAAACUCCAGACGUUUUCAUGCUUUUUUUUUUUUUCUUUUUAAAAUUAAAGACAUGUCUGGAGAAACAUCAACCUGCAAUUACUUUGAGCUGUAUGCAUUUAGUUCAAAACUCCCAGUGUAAUCCUUUAAGGACUGGUGUGGGGUCUGCUGGAGAUUUUCUCUCUGUUUGCAAUAAGAAAGAGGCUCAGCUGUUGCUAUAUGUUUAUUCUCAGUUUCAGUUAAAUGUAUUGAAACUUAAUUCUGGAAAGACAGUAUUAGUUUGAGCAGAUUGAAAAUGCAUCAUGCUGUAGUUUCCAUGGCUUUCUCAUGUAUGUAAUUUAAUUCAAUCCAUUGCUUCCACUUGCUAUGUUUUGUGAUGAUAAAAAAAAAAAAGGUCUCUUACGAUGCAGUAUUGAAAGCGACGUCUUGGGUUUUAUUCAACCUUUUAACAGAUAUUUUAGUGAUACAACAAUUAUUACUCUGCAACAAUAUAUAAUGGGCUUUGUUAUUGUCAGUAGAGUAUAAAUAGUUUUUUUUUAUGUGUGGAAAUAGAAUCUCUCAUCAUUCACUUGGAUCCGAUUUGAAGUUUGUGCAAAUAUGCAAGAAGAAUUGUAAUAGAGAGCACUGCGAUAGUCCAGGGUCUGUACGUAUCAAGCGUUCCACUCAGCCAUGUAGAAAUGUAUUCAUCUUUACGACAAGCGGAACUCACCAUUAAGUAAAGCAGCGCUUUUCCUCGUGUGAGGUUUGAUACAUAAAUACAAUCCCUGAACUACCUCAGGUCCUUCCCGAUUGUUUUUCUACAUUUAUUUUUAUUUCUUUCCAUUUGUUUUUGUUUUUUUUCCCUCUCUGCUCUUUUAAUAUUUUUGCACAUAAACAUCAUUCAUUAACUGGAAAAAGUGUAAAUGCAUUGUAACGAGUGCUACAUGCUACAGUGGGUUUUAUUUGAUGACAGUCAGCAUGAUGGAAGCUUGUCUCUGCUUCAGCUGUGCAUCUGGGCCAUUACAACCUCCGUAUGAUCCUCUCAGGUUGUAUACACGCACACACAUACACAAUCACACACAUACACACACACACACGGACAUGACACACACACACAGGACUCCUUUCUUGCGAUCAUGUUCUAGGAGGACAAGUAUUAUACUGGCACGAGGAUUCGCUCCGUUCUCGACCGUGUGACUGAAUCAGCAGAUAAGAAUCGUGUCCCUGUUCAUUCCCAGUCAACUUUUGCCUUUUGAUAAAUGUGAUUACUGCAACGGGACCUGAUCGUGUACCAGAAUUCCUGAUGGAUGAGCCAGGAAAGAUCGCAGCGCUGUGCGGACGAAUCACAGCAGGACAAGCUACAUGCUGAGUGAUUAUCAGAGCACUGAAACACUAGAGAAACAGUCACAACUUACAUUCCAUUUGACUUGCUUUCUGUGGACAUUGUAGCCUUCUAUAAGGUUCACUUACUUCUGUGUACAGAGAGGAACUCAUUCCUCAUGCUGGUGUAAGGGUGUUACUCAUUUUAACGUGAACUAAAACUUGACUCCAUUCCAUCACUAUUGAGUUUUUUUUUGUGCUUUGAUUUGCAACCAUUUAAAUGAUAAAAAACAAAGCGUUCCAUUUGAAAGGAGCAUCGUGUUCAUCUUGCAUAAUUUACUGUCAUUAACAAUAAAUGCAAAAAAAAAUAA